rnacentral:lncRNA from 12 species
AUGCUUCCUCCGGGAACCCGGUCGCGAGGAGCCGCGGCCACGCCCACACCAGGAAGCCAGCGGGGGCGUGGGACGGCCGGCGAGCGUGCGUGCGUGCGUGCCCCUGCGUACGCCGCGACGGCGGGGCGGGGCGCGCGGGGUCACGGGGGACCGGCGCCAGGGCUAGGGCCCGCGCUUCCCGGCGGCACCGGCAGCAUCCCGGACUCACGGACGGCUCGAGAGCCCGGCCGAAGCCCCGACCCCGCGGCACGGUCUGCGGCACCCCUCCGCGCUCCGGCCGGCGCCAGGGGCGGCACUGCCCUUCCAGGGACUGAGCCGAGCGCGAGGCCGCGUUCUCGCAGGCCUGUGCCGAAGCCCACGUCUUCCCGCCGCAGGCCCCGCCUUCCCUGGGCACCCCUCGCCUUUAGCUUUACCUGUGCCGGGCCGGCGACUGGAAAUUCCUCAAGACCCGGUGGGAAUCUGCUGUCGUGA